rnacentral:tRNA from 1 species
GACGGUAUAGAUAGGUGGUAGAGCGUGUGCUUACCAUGCAUGAGGUCUCGGGUUCAAUCCCCAGUACCGCCG